UACAGAGGUGCCGAGCGUUAGGCGGAAUUACUGGGCGUAAAGGGUGCGCAGGCGGUUAUAUAAGACAGAUGUGAAAUCCCCGGGCUCAACCUGGGAACUGCGUUUGUGACUGUAUGACUAGAGUACGGUAGAGAGGGGUGGAAUUCCUGGUGUAGCAGUGAAAUGCGCAGAUAUCAGGAGGAACACCAAUUGCGAAGGCAGCUCGCUGGGACGUUACUGACGCUGAGGCGCGAAAGCGUGGGGAGCAAACAGG
rnacentral:rRNA from 1 species